CGCCUGCGGCUUAGAGCGGAGCCGGGAGGCGUCUCCCGCGUUUCGCAGCUUGGGCUGGGGAGGAGCCGCGGUCGCAGCCGCUCGUUUCUGCCACGUCCCUCCCGGGCGAAGGCGAGCCUGGCGGGCAGCGGCCGGGAGCGCCACAGCACGUGCGCGCCGACCUUGUCAUUUCUUUGGGCUUUGAAGACGCUGAAGCAUGAAUGUCUGUUUGUUGGUGGUGUGAGCCAGUGUUUUGGACAAAGCAAUGUUUUAGAAACAGAACUAUAGAAAGAGAACCUCCAGCCAAAGGUUUUUAUACAGGAACCAAUCCGACGCGAAAAGAAACGAGGUCGACCAGAAGAAGCAUUUCUUGGUUGCCCCUUUGACCCCUCUUUGAUUAGAUUUCCUUGACGAG
rnacentral:lncRNA from 1 species